UCUGGUGGUCUUAGCGGAGGGGUUACACCUGUACCCAUUCCGAACACAGAAGUUAAGUCCUCCAGCGCCGAUGAUACUUAGCUAAGAGAGAGCUUGGGAGAGUAGGUCACUGCCAGAG
rnacentral:rRNA from 1 species